rfam:Oryza glaberrima chromosome 2 Oglab02_0058_25, whole genome shotgun sequence.
UUUAAGCACAGUCAAGAGUUUUCAAUAUUCAACUUUGAUCGUAUGUCUUAUUUGAUUUUUUUAUGAUUAAUAUUUUUACUAUUAUUAGAUGAUAAAACAUGAAUACUAAUCUAUGCGUGACUUAUCAAAUAAGACAGACGAUUAAAGUUGGUCACAUAAACUCAUGGUUGCAAUUAAA